AAAAGCAGUGCUGAACUAGCAGAUAAUGUGAGGGGACAAUCAAGGGAUCGGCGGUGACUACGGCAUGACUCUCUAGGUCAUUACCUCUCUUCCUCCUGCAUAUGCUGCAGGACACUAAGCUCACAGGAUCUUGAAGUAAAUUAUACAGAAGAAGAAAAAUGACCUGUGCCUGAGAGAACAACUCAGUGCUAGCAUUUCUGAACACACUCAGGACUCCAUAGACUCUCUGCAGCUCCUGAAAAAGAACCAAGGAGGCACCCAGUGCUUAUGUACACCAAGAACAAAGAACACUAAGUGCAUAAUGGGAUCAGAUGUUCUUGAUUUUGAAAGAGAAUAUUAUGUGCAUUUAAGAAUUAAGUAAAGACUCACAUUAAUGUGCUAACGGGAGAAAACUUGUGAGGUGCAAGAGUCAAGAGCAGCAGCAGGACACGCAUGCACCUACAAGUAGGACUUUCACCUUCAGCGACUGGCAUACCAGGACAGGAAUUUCUAACAACUGUCAUCUGUGUUUCUACAAAAGAGCAUGGAACCGGUUUGGAUCCUAAAGUAGCAGUGGCAAUGCUUUGCUAAAGCUGGUAAAAUGGAACCAAAUCGCCUCUUCAAUGGAUUUGGUCCCCUUCAACCAGCUGUAGCUAUGCAUUGAUUACCACAGGACAGUAGCAUUUCAUCUGUGAGUAUGGAUUACAUGACAACUAAUUUGCUUACUGAAUCUAUUAACUGUAAUUAAAAUUAAAUAACUAGCAACUGUUAAUUUUAUUUGGGAGAACUAUAGUGAUUAUAGAUGUUUAUUAAAAGCUUUAUGGAAAAAAUGUGUGAUAAAAAGGAUUUCAAAUAAAGUUAUUUAAUUU